rnacentral:rRNA from 1 species
CCUACGGGUGGCAGCAGUGAGGAAUAUUGGUCAAUGGACGAGAGUCUGAACCAGCCAAGUAGCGUGAAGGAUGACUGCCCUAUGGGUUGUAAACUUCUUUUAUAAAGGAAUAAAACGAGGCACGUGUGCCUUUUUGCAUGUACUUUAUGAAUAAGGAUCGGCUAACUCCGUGCCAGCAGCCGCGGUAAUACGGAGGAUCCGAGCGUUAUCCGGAUUUAUUGGGUUUAAAGGGAGCGUAGAUGUGUUUGUAAGUCAGUGGUGAAAGGUUGCGGCUCAACCGUAAAAUUGCAAUUGAUACUGGCAGUCUUGAGUACAGUUGAGGUAGGCGGAAUUCGUGGUGUAGCGGUGAAAUGCUUAGAUAUCACGAAGAACCCCGAUUGCGAAGGCAGCUUACUAAACUGUGACUGACAUUGAUGCUCGAAAGUGUGGGUAUCAAACAGAAUUAGAUACCCUGGUAGUC